UGUAUUAGAAUCUUUGAGAAUGUUGCUGAGUCCAAGGAGAAUCAAUGUGCGGUUCUGAGCUAAAACAGUGAGCUGCUGGAUUCAAAGAUAUAAACCUUUUUGUUCUUUUUUGGACAGGCACCAGAAGCUUAGCUACAAAGCGACUCCUGGGGAUGAAGUUGAAGAUAUGUAUGAGUUGUUGAAAGAAGUUAAACAGAAGAUACCAUCAAUUGAGGCGGUAUCUUCCAGGGCAAUAACUUCUGAUUAUCAAAGGCUACUGGUGGAAAGUGUCUGUUCAUGGUUAGGGCUUGUUUCUCUGGCAUAUUUAUGGAAACAGGAUCAGUCAAUGCUUCUUCAAGAAAAGGUUUUGUUGGGUACAGGUGGUAUGAUUUUUCCUGCUUGGCUCUUGUUAUAUGGAGAAUUCAGAAGGACAUGUCUUCAUAUGCAGGUGAUUGAAGAAGCUACCUAAUUUGAUUGUGUGAUCCCAUCUUCUGGACUUUAUGGUGCCCUGCUUCCUUGGAGUGUUUUUCGAUGGGUUCUAGUUGUACAUUACUACUGUCCACUAUUCGAAGGAAACCUGUUACAACGAGUAUGAGGAUUUUACUGACUAGCUCUGGUCCUUCAGAUCUGCAUGCACUCCUAUGGAAGUUUCAUUUAUUGCAGCGACACUCUCCCGUAGUGUUGAGGACUGGGAGUUAUGAGCCCUUUAACAAGAAGUGGAAUAAUGCUUACUUGGUGUGCUCCCUAUUGGAGGGCCUUGCGAGAUACAAUUGAGUUUCCAAAGAGUGAUUGGCUUUUGUAUCGGUGUGAUCAUUAAUUCAAAAUGAAGGGGCCUGAUGUUGUGAGAUGAGAUAGUUAUCACCCUUUAUGGAGGUGCAUAUGGCCUUGAUUGUAGGAUAUAUACAAUUGUCUAGCUAUGACUUCUCAAAACAUUGUUCGUCAGAUUUUGGCUGAACUAAUUUUGCAGCGGCGUUUUCUCUUAGCUUGA